CUCGGCUUUCGCGCCACACAGAACGCCCCUCUCACGCGCGUUUAUAGUAUGCGCGGGAAGCGCGCGGCCACAGACAGGACGCUAAAGCGAUUUUCGCCCAUUUCACUCACCUCGUUCCUUAAAGGGUCGAGCUUGUAGACGUUCUGCAGCUGAUUUCUUAGCCGCAUAGCUAUCGCCAUCGGACCUUGUUCCGCCAUCUUUGGGAAUUCUGCAUACUUCCGGGUAACGGGAGAGUGGACAUCUGAUGGGGUCAGCGCACAUCUGAGUGACAGCACCUUACUCCAUAUACAAAUCAUGCCUUUGGGGCGGACAGAGGACAACCGCAAGCUCUGACGAUAGCUGAACGCAUCAAAGAGAAAAGACAGAAAUGCCGAACCCUUUGGCGCACAGUGGCAUUUAUUUCUUCGCCUUAUCUCAGACGGUUUAUGGACAGUAAGACCUUCUCUUGUUGCCUUUUGUCUAGACACAUAUCAAAUCCUUCCAGCUUCUCUCCCUAGUAUCUAAAAUAAAAUAACAGUCUGAUUGUUUCACCUGCCAGCCAAAGGCUAUCAAAGUGAAGAAGAUAAGGUAAACUAAUGUCCAAUAACUAGAGUCAUUUCCAUUGGAUAGAGUUCAGUUCAGAGCAAGAUACGAGAGGGGUGUUACAGAAGGUUUAAUGAAAACAUGUCACUAAAAUCACAGAGUGAUACAAUACGUUUCUUGUUGAGAUUCAUUCAUGUGAGGGAGAACAAGAACAUGUUUUACUAAAGCAAUUGCAAUUGCCGACCGCCUUUACCCUGAACUGAAGCCAUAUCUUGAUAAGUGGAAACAAUCCGUCUCAUUGAUUCAUUAAAAAGCUGCUUUAUUUUCCUCACUGUUAAGAUGUGUUAAAACACACACAGGAUGACUGAAGAUAUGUAAGCAGGAGCUUUAUCAAAACAACUCAGUUCUGUAUUUAAGUUAUUUCCUUUUGAUUAGAAUUGGAGCAAAUGGUCUUAGCCCAAAAUUAGAAAUGAAUUGUCCAAAGGGAUUCCACAACACUUAUCUGAGAUGCUAUUUCCUACUGAAUUAAGGGAUUUAGUAUGUCUCCUGUUGGCGAAAAAAAAAAGGAGAAAAGAAAAAGAAAAGACUGUCAUGCUGAUUUCAGUGCCCCUAGCCUAGACCUGUUCACCUAAAGCUCCAAAAACAACCAAACAAACAUCUAUAACGGGGAGGAGGCUCGCCUGCCAAGUCAUGCCAAAGUGAGGCUCUCUGUUUGGGGCACACAGACUUUUGCCUCCCCCUGUCCCAGAGCAAUCAGAGCAUGUAGGGACGGACACCGAGCUUUUUGUUUUCGCCUGCUCCAGCAAUUAGCUGCCAAGUGGCAAGCUAAUGAAGAUAACCCCCUCCAAGAGCCCUGAUCAGCUGCCAGGAAGCUGACGACAGCUCAAAACACAAAGACUCUUACGGGAAGAAGAGGGGGUAGUUUGGGAUCAUUUUAUUGUCAUUUCUUUUUAUAAAACGGAUUGUUAAAAUUCUGAUCAGUCAAGCCAUGUUUAAAGCGUCAUAACAUAAUACAACAUGCACAUACCUGUGGCUGCACAUCAUUGAUGCAUCAGUUGCAGAAACAGGUUACGGUUAACUAUAUUGGUGGAUAUUAAUAAUAUUAAUGUUAAUAAAUCUAACAAUUUACUGAAAUACUGUUUUUAUAGCUUUUACUAAUUUUUUAAGCUUCUCAAGGCUGUGAGUUACAGCUUAUUGCUUUUAUUAAUAUUAGUCAUAGGAAUUUUGAGGUAUGUGAAAGAUGGUAUUCUUACUUACAAUUCAUUGUUGACGUGCAGUAAAUACUGGCUGAUAUAAUAAUUCCUUAAAAUUACAAUAUUGCUCUUUUUGUAUGUAGUUGAUUUAAAAAAAAAAAACAACUUGUCAAAUGUAACACAAAAUAUUGACAUUGCUUCAAUUUCCUAAAUUAGAAAUGUGAGUAUUAACAGCCUCUUUAAAUCUGUAGUUGGAGUCACUGAACUCCAUCAGCUACCUGAUAAGUUAAUUGACUUACAGGCUGUUAAAUAGUGAAUGAGGAACUGGGUUAUAUUUCUGUGACCUGGUUAACUGAACUGACAUAGAGUGCACAAUGAAGAACAGACUUGACAACACGUUUCACCAUACUUCCGUGAUGUUCUACAUCUAAUGUUUCGAUCCUUUAUUUAAAUAUUUUUAUACUUUAUGCUGGUUAUGGUAUGUUCACUCAAAACAAGAUGAUACAUAAAGAUUAGCAAUUGUUUUAAAUAUAAUUAGCAGACAGUUUUUCCCACCAGAGGGUGCUAGUGCGGAGGAUGGAGGCCUUCUGGGCAGCCGAUAGUCCAUCAUUCGGUAACUGCAGUUAACCUAGACAAAGUGCCCAUGUCUGUAUGUCUUAUUCUCUAAUGACUGGCAAUAUUCCCGUAAUUUGGGUGUGCCAGCAUACCUUGUCUGGUACAAUCUGAAGCUGUUCAACCCUUUGGGAUCAAGAGAGUGAAGGGAACAAGCUCUGAAGGGAAUUUUUGUUGGUUGGUACACAUACAAGAGGAGUACUAUAGAUUAAACUCUACAUGCCAUGCAGUACUGCAGAGAACGAUCGGUCAUUUUGUAAAAGAAAAAAAAAAUUAUAUACUUUUUAACCACAAAUGCUCGUCUUGCUCUAGCUCUGCGAUGUGCUGCGCAAUACAUAAUCACGUUGGAAAGGUCACGUGUGAAGUAGGCGGAAGUACUGCUUCAGACUGUAAGGUGAAAAACUCAUAACUCAAAUCUCAUUUUCUCCUCCAAUUUCAAAAUCGUCCGACAUCGUUGCUUUAUGUUGCCAUUUGACUUAGUCUUUGCACAUUUGCUUUGUAGACACUAGAUCGAUACUUCCACCUACGUCACGUGUAGGUGAUUCCAACAUGAUUACAUAAUGUGUGGAGCAUCGCAGAGCAGUCCAAGAUAAGCAUUUGUGGUUAAAGUAUAUACAUUUGUAUUUUUUUAGAAAAUGACCGAUCGUUUCGUUAGACAAGACCCUUAUUCCUCGGCUGGGAUCGUGAAUUGAAGCUGCAUUGAAACUGCAAUUUGGACAUUUUUAACUCGUUAUACCCCAGUGAAGUUCACUAUAUAGAGAAAAAUCCUGGAAUGUUUUCCUCAAAAACCAAUUUCUCAAUUUCUUUUCGACUGAAGAAAGACAUAAACAUCUGGGAUGACAUGGGGGAAUACAUCUUUAUAUGAACAAUUGAAAUGAAUGACUACAAGUUUGGCGGUCCAGCAUCUACUGGAUAAUGGACAGGAUUUCAUUGCACCAUGUCAAAGACUCGCAUAUUGUAUGAAGGGGAUUCUUUAAAUGGACUUCUCAGUGCCCCAUGUGACCCCACAGGACUCCAUUACAGUGGAUAUGUGUGCAUUCUGUUUUCAUGGUAAUGUUUCAAAGCAGAGUGGAUUGGGGUUGGGUACACAUGAUGGCCCUCUCUGAUUUCACCCUCUGGAGAAUGUACUCAGGUGGUCCUAUCAGGUGUGAAACUGACUGCGGUAAAGACAGGGGAUUUGUCAAGACAAGCUGGAACCAUGCCCAGAGUGAGGGGGUUGAAGGCUUUUUAGGUUUUCUUUUAAAAUGUCACAAUGCUGUCAUUCACUAAGUGUGGUUGAUUGCAAGCAGACCGGACUCAUUUUCUGAUAUUCUAAACUUCCCACAGGUAGACAGAGGAAGAGUUCACAGCAAGCAUUAAGGAUCCAUUUUGGACCCAUCUCUGUCUGGUUCAGACUUUGAAUGACACCUUCAAUAGCAGAAACCAGAAUGACCUCUGGGUGCAGAGAUACUGACAAGAUUAUUUUUUGUCCAUUUAAUUAAAACUAAACCCUGUAUAAUUCAGAAUUAUUAAAAACUCUUUUUUCCAAUAAAUCAUUCAUUUAAAUCAAUGACAGGUCUGGGGCUGUUGUCGGCAAAAGACUGAGCUUUUUGGUCUCAGCUGAACUGGCAUGGCAUUCACGCCCGAAACUCCUGUUUGUUCAGAGGAGCAGCAGCCGUGCUAGCCUGGCAAGGCUUCACAUUCCUUCAGAACUGGCUCAUUCUGGACAGGGCCCAAUAUAAAGUAAAUUUGAACAGAGAAGUACCUUUCACAGGUGUUAAGACUGAUACAGCAGCCAGUUCAGAUGGGUUCUCCUGAAAGGAAUCAACUAAAUGUAAACCUCUUGGAGAUGCUGUGCUGGAACUUUCUCAGUGGUCAGUGGGUUUGACCUGCAUUGUUUUGGGUGGUUCAGACUCCAAAACAAUAUUGUGCAAGACUCUAAAAGAUGUUUUUAACAAAGUUCAGGGUUCAGGGAUGGAGGCAGGAACGGACAAACGAUGAUGAUGAACGAUAAACAUAAUGUCCCAGGCUGCAGAAUCUGAUUUCACCAAGUGCAACAUGUUCCUGGAUCAACAUCUUUGUUGAUCCUGGAACAACAUUCCAAUCAACCGAUCAGAUUUGUGAGACAAAUCAAGUUUAGGCUUAAGUUUAGGUGCUUCUACAUCAAUGUUAUUCAGCUAUCAUUUCCCUCUGAUUUUAGGGAUAAGUUAUGGGUAGGGUUAGGUUUAGAAGUAUGGAAAGGGUUUUGGACAGAAAUGUUGUUCCAGGAUCAACAAAAUAUGUUGGAACUUUCAAAAUCAGGACGUGUGUCCCAGGCCUUGGUCCUCUCUCGUAUUGCACUGUCAUUUCUCCUCCUUUUAUCUUUCCAGAGCUCCUCUGUGGGAUUCAAGAAAGGUGUGGUGCACCGGUGACGCUCAUUAACACUUCGCUUCGUUCCCACAGCUCACGGGGCCUACUCUGUCCCCUCACCGACGACAGCCGCCCCUCUGGAACCCAGGUGGACAGCAGCGAGUUUAUCCAUCCCCCAGCAAGUCACUCCAGCACCACCGCCUUGGGCAGCCACUAGCUGUCACCGCUCCUUCAUACUGCCCGACCUCCAUAGCACCGCGAUCCCCCUCAGUAGCGAGGGCUCUCCGACAGUGUGUCCCUCCUUCCUCCCGGGUUUUGGCACCAAUGUAAUAUGAUGUUCAUGUUAAGGGAAGAAGAAGGUGGGAACCGGCAAACAAACAACGUAAACUAUAAUAACACAAACACAAAUAACCACAACAAAAUGAGUGUAAAGCAGCAACCCUUCACGGAUGACUGCCACAUAAACUAAAACAAGCUUGGUCCUCUCUCAUCUUGCACUGUCGUCACUCUUCUUUUUGUCCUUCUGGAGCUCUUCUGUGGAACUCAAGACCAGUGUAUCGAACAGGUGACGCUCAUUAACAUUUUGAUGUGGGUCUGCAUUUCUAGGUGGAUACAUAUCUGGCUGUUAUACCACUGUGGAUGGAGUUUGCUCCAUACAAAUAUCCGUUUUUGAAUAGUUAUUCCAUGUCUCUUACGUGCUCUAGCUGGUAUCCUUGGGUAGAUAUCAAGCAAUUAAUUUUUUCAGAGUUGAGAUUGGACUUUGCAAUUAAUCAAUUUUAUUCUUGCAAAUAAUAAAUGUGUUGCUUGAUAGGUGAUGGAUUGUUUUUUUUCAAUGUUCUGAUAGCAGUGCAAGGGAAAUUGCAUGUUUUGGAGCCUUCAGGAUAAAUCAGGUUUAGGUUUACCCAAAGAUUGUAACGUGAUACACCAGUUUCCGCUGUAAUUACUGAAUGGCUGGAUGUUCCGUCAUUGUUAUCUGCCAUGGCUGUUUGAGAUCAUGCUUUAAGAUGGUAAGAGGCCAUGUGCAAAUCUAGCCCCACCAGGCCAUGCCUAAGCAGUCAGAAGGGCUCACCUAACAGCUCACAAUGACUUGAGAGACGCCAGCACCCGAUAAACCUUGACCGCCCGUGAGACGCCCACAAAACAUGUCGCAAGCUGGCAGAGGCAGAUAGUGGCCGUCUUUGAAGAUUCAGUUAUGUUCAUUCUGAGUUAUGCUUUUGGCUCUUGAGGAAAGCUUUGAUAGAGUUACAAAAAAGACAGGCAAACCCUUAUACCCGCGCUACAUUAAGGAGAGGAUUGUUUUGGAGACUGUAUUCUUAUGUCUGGUCUUCUUUCAGCCAACAUGCAGGCAUUCUUUCAUCUUUGGGUUACAUCUUUUUGUUGGUAGCAUGCAAUGUUACUGUGCUGUUCUCAACUAUGCUAGAAAGAGUAAGAGGGAGACAGACAACGGGAAUUCAUUCAAUUUUGUAUUGCAUUUCUGAGUAUUUCUGUUCCAAACAGGAUGCUGACCCUCAUCAUUUAGAUCAAAGAAGAUUAAAAGUUCUUUUUGAUUUGCAUAGUACUUCUUCAUAGCAGGGAAAUAGGAAUGAUCUGAAAAGUAUGUUUGGAUCAGGGUUGUGCACCUUUCAGAAUUGUUGAGAAUUUGAACUGAAUUUGAACUGAGGUACGGAACAGGAUGCUAAGUUGCAAUUCGAAUUUGAAUUUAGGAUUAAAGUAAUUAAAAUUCAAAGAAAUUCAUAUUUAGUUUUUUACUAGUCAAGGAAGACUAGAAUCUUUGAAUGUUUGAUAAAGCCUUGUUUGAAAGUUUUUGGGCCCUAUCAUACUCCCAGCGCAAUGCGGCACGACGCAAGUGUUUUUUUGCUCGUUUCAGCCUAACGCAGUUAUCAUUUUCACGUCCUGCGCCACGUUGUUUAAAUAGCAAAUGCAUUUGCACCCAUUUGUGUGCCCAUGGGCAUGCUGGCCUGAAAAUGAGGUGUGUCCAGGCGCAUUGUUGGCGCGUUACUAUUUUGAGGCAACUGAAAUAGACUGCACCAUUGGCCAACAAAAACCUGGUCUAGAGUUAAUGGCGCAAUAUUUGUUUUGUUAUUUAAAGAGCGUGCUAGUAAUAUGCCUAUAUGCGGGUGCACAACACGCGUACACUCUGCUUAUUACACCCACAGGGACAC